AGAACGAACGCUGGCGGCAGGCUUAACACAUGCAAGUCGAACGGUUGUAGCAAUACAGCAGUGGCGCACGGGUGAGUAACGCGUGGGAACAUCCCUUUCAGUUCGGAAUAACCUCGGGAAACUGAGGCUAAUACCGGAUAUUCUCUUCGGAGGAAAGAUUUAUCGCUGAAAGAUUGGCCCGCGUCAGAUUAGCUAGUUGGUGGGGUAAUGGCCUACCAAGGCUUCGAUCUGUAGCUGGUCUGAGAGGACGACCAGCCACACUGGAACUGAGACACGGUCCAGACUCCUACGGGAGGCAGCAGUGGGGAAUAUUGGACAAUGGGCGAAAGCCUGAUCCAGCCAUGCCGCGUGAAUGAUGAAGGCCUUAGGGUUGUAAAGUUCUUUUGCCAGGGAAGAUAAUGACGGUACCUGGAGAAUAAGCACCGGCUAACUUCGCGCCAGCAGCCGC
rnacentral:rRNA from 1 species